rnacentral:misc_RNA from 1 species
AACGCACAUUGCACUCUCUGGUAUUCCGGAGAGUAUGCUUGUUUGAGUAUCAGUAAACACCUCAAAUCUCGACAUUCGUGUUGAGAAUUGGACUUGAGCAAUCCCAACUCUUUGCAAAAAGAGGCGGGUUGCUUGAAAUGCAGGUGCAGCUGGACAUUCUUCUGAGCUAAAAGCAUAUUUAUUUAGUCCCGUCAAACGGAUUAUUACUUUUGCUCUAGCUAACAUAAAGGUCGAAUGUUCUACAUGCUGACUGAUGCAGGAUUACCAAGUUUCCUUCAAAAGAAACUUGUAAACUCGAUCUCAAAUCAAGUAAGACUACCCGCUGAACUUAA